rnacentral:rRNA from 1 species
UACGGAGGGGGCUAGCGUUGUUCGGAAUUACUGGGCGUAAAGCGCGCGUAGGCGGCUUUGCAAGUUAGAUGUGAAAGCCCGGAGCUCAACUCCGGAACUGCCUUUAAGACUGCAUCGCUAGAAUUGUGGAGAGGUGAGUGGAAUUCCUGGUGUAGCGGUGAAAUGCGCAGAUAUCAGGAGGAACACCGGUGGCGAAGGCGGAUCUCUGGGCCGUAACUGACGCUGAGGCGCGAAAGCUAGGGGAGCAAACAGG